rnacentral:rRNA from 1 species
UACGUAGGGUGCAAGCGUUGUCCGGAAUUAUUGGGCGUAAAGAGCUCGUAGGCGGUUUGUCGCGUCGGCUGUGAAAACUCGGGGCUCAACCCCGAGCCUGCAGUCGAUACGGGCAGACUAGAGUGCGGUAGGGGAGACUGGAAUUCCUGGUGUAGCGGUGAAAUGCGCAGAUAUCAGGAGGAACACCGGUGGCGAAGGCGGGUCUCUGGGCCGUAACUGACGCUGAGGAGCGAAAGCGUGGGGAGCGAACAGG